rnacentral:tRNA from 1 species
GGAGGUAUAGCUCAGUGGUAGAGUGUGUACUUAGCCAGCAUGAGGUCCUGGGUUCAAUCCCCAGCACUUCCA